GACGAACGCUGGCGGCGUGCCUAAUACAUGCAAGUAGAACGCUGAAGGAGGAGCUUGCUUCUCUGGAUGAGUUGCGAACGGGUGAGUAACGCGUAGGUAACCUGCCUGGUAGCGGGGGAUAACUAUUGGAAACGAUAGCUAAUACCGCAUAAUAGCAGUUGUUGCAUGACAACUGUUUGAAAGGUGCAAAUGCAUCACUACCAGAUGGACCUGCGUUGUAUUAGCUAGUUGGUGGGGUAAAGGCUCACCAAGGCGACGAUACAUAGCCGACCUGAGAGGGUGAUCGGCCACACUGGGACUGAGACACGGCCCAGACUCCUACGGGAGGCAGCAGUAGGGAAUCUUCGGCAAUGGACGGAAGUCUGACCGAGCAACGCCGCGUGAGUGAAGAAGGUUUUCGGAUCGUAAAGCUCGGUUGUAAGAGAAGAACGAGUGUGAGAGUGGAAAGUUCACAAUGUGACGGUAUCUUACCAGAAAGAGACGGCUAACUACGUG
rnacentral:rRNA from 1 species